rnacentral:lncRNA from 1 species
UGCUCCCACCCAUUUAUGUCCGACAAUGACAAUUCGUAUUUUAAAAUAUAUGAAAGGUUUUCACCCUCUUCUCCAUUCAUAGCGCUUAAUGAUUAUUAUACAUAUACAAGCUGGCAGAUGCUGAGGUCCUGCUCAUAUGAGCUCAAGGUCAUCACAAGACCAUAGAUGUCAAUAUUUUCUGUUGUUGAAAUACUCAGCCAGUCCAGAUGGUUAUCCAAAUGAGUUAUAUCUUCAGAAUUCAUACAAACCUUAACAUCGCUGCAGCCAUCAACGUUGCAGCUCUGAAGUAGAUGUCAUCAACACUUUUCUCAACUCUCUUAAUCAUCUCUUUUUCCUUCAUAUCCAACUUGCCAGUAUUCUUGCUGAUAUGUACAAUCGUGUCCCUCAGUCUGUUAACUGCCCAGGAGAGCCAAACUAGCCCGAAACCAAGGCUAGUGCUAAAGAGGUUAGAUGUACACAAUGGGGCUCUCACAUACGCUACCUUACAGAAAACAGAAAAGACAACAGCAAGACCAGUCCCGGCAAUGCCAGCAGAGAAUUGGGUCAAAAGUUGAGGAAGUUCAGGCCCAGACUUCUUCAGGGAAAGAAUUGCCAUUUUGCCAUGCCGGUGCUUAUUUACCAUCAAAGAAAGAAGACUCUCACAUGCAUGGAAAUAAUUUGCUUUGUAGAGAUUUCUCUCCCUGGUUGACUUCUUAGACGUCUUC